rnacentral:rRNA from 1 species
GGGCUCGCGUCUGAUUAGCUUGUUGGUGAGGUAAUGGCUUACCAAGGCGACGAUCAGUAUCUGGUUUGAGAGGACGAUCAGACACACUGGAACUGAGACACGGUCCAGACUCCUACGGGAGGCAGCAGUGGGGAAUUUUCCGCAAUGGGCGAAAGCCUGACGGAGCAAUCUCGCAUGAGGGAUGACUGCCUAUGGGUUGUAAACCUCUUUUUUCAGGGAGGAAUUAAUGACGUGUACCUGAAGAAUAAGCAUCGGCUAAUUCCGUGCCAGCAGCCGCGGUAAGACGGAGGAUGCAAGUGUUAUCCGGAAUCACUGGGCGUAAAGCGUCUGUAGGUGGUUUAAUAAGUCAACUGUUAAAUCUUGAAGCUCAACUUCAAAAUCGCAGUCGAAACUAUUAGACUAGAGUAUAGUAGGGGUAAAGGGAAUUUCCAGUGGAGCGGUGAAAUGCGUAGAGAUUGGAAAGAACACCGAUGGCGAAGGCACUUUACUGGGCUAUUACUGACACUCAGAGACGAAAGCUAGGGUAGCAAAUGGGAUUAGAUACCCCAGUAGUCCUAGCCGUAAACAAUGGAUACUAGAUGUUGAACAGAUCGAACUGUGCAGUAUCAAGCUAACGCGUUAUGUAUCCCGCCUGGGAAGUAUGCUCGCAGAGUGAAACUCAAAGGAAUUGACGGGGGCCCGCACAAGCGGUGGAGCAUGUGGUUUAAUUCGAUGCAACGCGAAGAACCUUACCAGGGUUUGACAUGAUACGAAUUUCUUUGAAGGAAGAAAGUGCCUUUUGGAACGUAUACACAGGUGGUGCAUGGCUGUCGUCAGCUCGUGUCGUGAGAUGUUGGGUUAAGUCCCGCAACGAGCGCAACCCUCAUUUUUAGUUGCCUUAUGGAACUCUAGAAAGACUGCUGGUUAUAAACCGGAGGAAGGCGGGGAUGACGUCAAGUCAGCAUGCCCCUUACACCCUGGGCUACACACGUGCUACAAUGGGUGAGACAAUGAGAUGCAAAUCUGCGAAGACAAGCUAAUCUAAAAACUCACUCUAAGUUCGGAUUGUAGGCUGCAACUCACCUGCAUGAAGUUGGAAUCGCUAGUAAUCGCUGGUCAGCUACACAGCGGUGAAUUCGUUCCCGGGCCUUGUACACACCGCCCGUCACACCAUGGAAGCUGGUUAUGCCCGAAGUCGUUACUCUAACCGUUUGGAGGAGGAUGCCUAAGGUAGAAUUAGUGACUGGGGUGAAGUCGUAACAAGGUAGCCGUACUG